GCGGCACAGCCCUGACCCAGAAGCAUCUUUCAAUGCGGUCCUCCCUGUUUUCCAUCUGUGUUGCAUGUUAUUCUUUGGGGUCCUCGUUUUCUCUCGGUUGAAGAAGGUGUCAGUGUUGAACCCGGAGCGUACGCCGGUCUGGUACGUAAUGCCAUUCCCAGCCAGACAACCCGACGCCCUCGAUGGAGAUGACGCUAGCGCUUGAAGGCGAUGUUUUUCCCUCGGACUGCGUGGCCGGCGAGAUGGUAAUGCCGAGGCGGGGAGCAGCUUCACAGCUCACUGCCCUCAUCGGAGCAACUGCCUGAGAAGCGCCGUGCCAAAGCCAACCAUUUGCCGGGUGCCCGCUGCGUCGCCGCGAGGGGUGGGCAGCAGCGGGCCCGCUCGCGGGGGCUCCUCGGGGACCCACCGCCUGCCAACCUCCCCUCCGCCAUCCUCCGAGGCGGCCCGUCCCCGCAUACACGUGUCUGGGCAAGGGAAGGAGCACCAUGUAACCAGACAGCUGUAAACCUUCAGCUGCAAACCACCGAUGCGAGUCUAUAGACCACCAGUUUGGGAAACCUCUGCUUUAAGCCUCUAAAUGAUUCAACAUUUGUUCCCUCUGAUGACACCACGAAUCUGGGAAUGAAGAACUUCUUAGAGCUGAUUGGAAAUGGCAUUGCGGAGCUGAAACUUAACUGGAGGAAAUAUAUCUCCUGAAGAAGAACAUAUAAUGCACUGUAAGGAUCUGACUUCUGGUGAAAAAUUCAAGCCUAGAGAAAACUUGUCCGCUUUGUUAGGAAGAAUGGGUUGGACAAUUUUCUUCAAUUCCAAAGGAUAUCUGAAUGCCAUGCUGAGCUUAAUCUCUGCAGCAUGCUCUGUGCUUCUCAUCUCUUCCUGAUGCACUGCAUGGUUAUCCUGAAGGGGAGGAUAAAGAAACUGGCCACCAAGAUGGUAAUCACUAGUGGAAAUGAAGAAGAUAAAGGCAGUCAAGAAAAGGAAAGCAAAGAAGAAACCAUCUUGGCAAUGCUUGGAAUUAUUGGGACAAUUCUGAACCUCAUUGUGAUCAUUUUUGUGUAUAUUUACACAACACUGUAAACUAGGAGGCAUGAAAAUAGACCAGAUAAAACGGCCAUUAAGAGUGACGACAAACAUUGCUGACUAUUGACAAGUUGUUUAAUCAGAAUUGACUCUGUAUUAUAUUAACACAUCAUAAAAGCACUGCCUGCAGGCAGCAAAGGCUGAAGCACAAUUAAUUUAACAAGACUUUUUCACACAGUAACAAGCUUAACUCUUCUGUCCUGCCCUCUUCCUUUCAGUUUGGUUUUCAGUUUUGGGGAAAAUGACUGCAAUGAUGUAAGUUGUAGCUUUGAAGAAAACCACCAGGGAUAUGUUGUUUUAACACAAUUUAAAAAAAAAAGAGAAGAAAGAAACUGUACACUAUAUACAAAUAGAAAUGUAUACUCUAUACCCGCAAAGAUUGAACUCAAAGAUAGCUUCAUAGCACAGAUCACGUGUCCGUUAGGUCAAAUGAUUUUUUUCUCUUGGUUUUGCUUUUACUUACAUUGAAUUUGACAAGCUUUUUAUUUAGAAUGAACAUAUGGUGCAAUCAUGAAAAAACCAAUUCCAUUGAGCAAGGUCUGCCUAAACCUGAUAAAAUGUUGGGAGAAAUACAUUACAUGGUUAUUUUUCCUCUCUCAUUUGCUUAACAUCUGUGUCUGUUCAUACUAAUGUUUAUAAAUAUAUAUUUUUAAUAAAUGUGCUAUAUUUUUAGCAUGAACCAAAUAUUUGGAGACACUUGUAUUCAUGCAGCUAAAUUUUGUUUGAUGAAGUGCCCUUUUUGACAAUGGAUGUUAUUUUUCUCAGAAAUUAUACAGCAGUCUUGUUUGCAGCCCUCUCACUGUGGUCUGAAGCAAGCUCACAUCAUGCUCAUAUGCAUGACUUGAAGUUGGAAUGUCAGCUGAAAAGCAUUGCUGCUUAAUACGGGAAAUAGCAAAACAUUGUAAGGUGACCUUUGGAGACUGGUUGCAGAAAGAAGGCUCUAUUUAUAGUUUAAAAAAAAAAAGCAAAUGAAAGGAAUAUUGAAGCAUCUCACAAAAUAUUAUAAAAUUCACAGAAUUUAUGGCUUUCCAAAUCUGGUCACACUGUCUAAGUACUUAUAGUGAAAGAAGCAAGCAGAGGUUUAUGCAGCCGAAAAGAAAAAUUUAGAGAGCCUGUGGUGAGGGGCUUAAGUGAAAUCCAGACUGUAAAUACAGAGUAUAUUUUAAAUGUGAGGAUCAUUAACCCUUUAUGCUUCUCUGACGUGCUUUAACUGAGGUCAGUGCAGUGAAAUUCUCUGACUUGUGUUUUUGACAGGAAUGUACAAUGAUGAUGAUGAUCACCAUUUUUCUUCAGAGUUCAGUACCUAUAAAUAUAUGAAGCAUUAAAAAUAUGAGACCUCAAUUGUGCCUCAAGCUGUCUAAGUACGUUGCCCAUUAGGUCUGACAUAUCCUCUUAAAAAAUAGGUCAAUUAAUUGUUUACUGACUUGUGGUUUGGAUUGCGUCCUCAGAUACACAGGGGGCAUUGCUAUUGAAGUCAGCUGGAGCUGUAAAAAGUUUGAACCUAGAGUCUCAUUGAUUUUGGUGAUCAGUCCUGUCCCUCUGGAACCAGUAAUGAGCUUUUCACUGGUUCCCAAGUGCUAGGACUGGUCUCAAAAAUACAGAAUUUCAUUGCAGGAUAUAAAAGCAAGCCUGGAAAACCCUGAGGGGCACGUCUCAUAAACAGAGGUGUUUAGUCUCUUGUGGUAUUGUACAUUCAGUAACAAAACCAUUAGGUGAAAGGAAAAGGUCAGUAAAUAAGUUAAAAUGAAAUCCAAUAUGAAGACUGAAGGAAAAAAGAGCAAAAAUAAUCUCAUGUUAAUGAAAACAUGACAGGGUGAGAGAGGUGAGAAAAUGAGCACAGGUUUGAACAAGCAGAGGAUGGCACAGAAAGAGGGUGCCCAGCAUGCUGGUGUGGUUGAAGAAACAUUUGUGUUUGGAUGGUGCUGGUAGUGCUGCAGGUCUUACAGAGGGUGAGAAAUGUUAGUGGCACUGUUCAGUGGAGCUGAGUGAGGCUGAUCUUGGGUUUUAAUUUGUAGUUAUUUACUGGUAGUUCCAAGGAAUUAGCAAACUCUGCUUUUUGAUCAUCUUGAAUGAAAAAAAACCAUGGCUAAAAUAUAGUUACCUUCACUCUGCAUUUUCUCUUCUGGUUGAACUACAGCUGAUCACAGCAUGGGCCAAUAGCAUUGGCACUCAUGUCCCAGAGCACACCAGCCACCUGGCUAACUCCAGCCUGUCGCUCCUGUUGGCAGGAUCCUCUCUGCAGAUGUUCUCUUGAACGUCUCCUACUCCUUCUCCAGCAAACACCAAAGCAAUCUGCCUGAGGCUUCUACCCAUCUUCUAGAGGGGAAGCCUGGGAAGGGGCAGUGACCGAGUCAAGAGAUGAGCCCUGAUGCCUGAUUUUUCUUUGCCUCUCUCUUUGUCAAAGGAUAAUACCUGUCAUCAUCUUGUGGGCAUGAAGAUGCUUAAUGAAUGAAAUUUCAUUAAAUACUUCUAUUAAUAUUACAAAUUAAAGCUCUGCAUUGUAAAAAAGCAUAUAACCCCCCCAACCCCCUAAAGUAAAGUAGCAACUUUUGCUGCUUAUCACAGUUGCAUUCCUUCAGACAUAGGCCAGUGUCUUCACCGACAGGCACUGCAAAUAGCCCAAAUGUGCUUAAGCUGAACUGGUGGAUCAAAAAGCCUAAGGGCUCUGUGUUUACUCUGCCUUUCCCAAGAGAAGACCCGUUAGGGGAAGACUUUCCAACCAUAGGCGUGCUGUACUUUGCCUGUUAGUCUUAGCGUAGGCAGUGUAUCCAGGUGCCUACCUCUCUGCGCCAUCAGCAGCCGUGUACUGUGUGCUUUGCCACAGGACUUUCAUUGCAGCCUGAAACAGGAAGAAUAGUUUAUCCCAUUCCAUAAAAAGUUUAACAGUAUUUUAAUUUUACAGGUUUCUGUUCACAGAUAGUUCUAGAAAUAUCCUAGGGCAAGUACUUCUUAAGUAGAUUCAUUAAGUAUUCAUUUAAAUAAAGAUGAAGUGUUUCCUUCAAGGGAAAUUUCUUUACCUUUUAUUUGGUAUUCAUGAACACUGAUAUGGGAAAAGUAUGUCUUCAAGAAUGACUGUGGAAGGGAAAUGUUUUAUACAACGAUCUGAAAAUAUGCCUACCCAGGCAGCCGCACGCAGGCCUGCUUUCGGCUGAAUGCCAGCUGGAGCCAAAUUACCCUCAUGCUUUUUUAUGUGAGCAGUUUUCAGCAUGCAUCUAUAAGAAAUAUUCAAAUAGGUAACAUAUAUAUCAUGGAUACCUUACAGUCAGUAACUGCAGUAUAAAUAGUUGAACAAAACUUCUCAUUACAGGUGCUGAAUGGUAAAUCUGUUUUGGCAAGGAAAAAGCUGAUAGUCUCAUUUUUGGCUUGACUUGUAGGUAAUGUAAAUAGUUUCCAAAAUAAAUUUUUUAAAAUAAAAUAUUACUCCUUUAGUGACAGGAACUUUCAUGUUUGCAUUUGAGUAGAAGGUAUUUAAUAUCCAAUAUCUUAAUAAGAUAUGAAAACAUCACCUUCUGCUUCUGUCAACUAGAAAUACCAUUGUAUUUUUAAAUUAUCCUAUGUAGUUUAAUAGUUUGUGUUAUGGGAGUGAAAAAUAUUUUCCUCAGGUGACAGGAAGGUGACACGCUCCCUGCUAGUGUCUGGUGUGUUGUGUGGUGGGUACAGAAGGCUUUCACGAAAGAAGAAGAUAAAACUAUCUAAAUCACAUUAUGCACGCAACAAAGUGAGGAGAAAGAAGAAAGAUAGGUAGCCGCUCUCAUCCCUUGUUCCUAUAACUGCCACUGAAAACUCAUCAUCUCAGAAAUCAUGCCUUUAUACAGGAAUAUAUCUUCUUGUGUGCUGGCUGACAGGGCAUUUUUUUUCAAUUAUGUACCUUUUCCUCCUUCUGCUUGCACCUCCACAGCAGUGUGUGGCUCAUCACACCUUAAGAGAGUUUUUUACAUGUACCCAGCCUGGGAGCCUCUGGAAGUUGCUGUUUUGGUUUAUAGUGGUGUAAAGGUCUACUAUGGGACAGAGUUUUAUUAUUUUAAGGACAAUCAGUAAUCAUCUUUACGUUAUUGUCUGAUAAUCUAGGGGAUACUUUGCUGGUUGAAUUCCCAGCCCCAUCCCUCCCCUGGCCCACAAGUAAAAUUUUGAUUCAGUAGACCUCCAAAUACAAAAAAUCUUCAGUUACAUCAUGAUAAAACUUUAGUAUGAAGCAUUGCUUAAGUCCAAGUGUCUUAUAUUUCCAUUUAAUUUAUAUCCUGGAGCUCAUCCCACAUGCCCCAGGGUCUCAUCUGUGUCAGGAGGUCUCAUUGUUUCUGAGCGAGAAUUGACGUUUCAGAGUGCACUGUGGCAUAAGCAGAGAACUGCAUCCAGAGAGGGGAACUGGGAUAAAAAGUAACUGAAUUAAAACUCCAGGAAGGCAGCACUGCAAAAUUUACUAAUUAAAUAGUUUGAGGCUUGGCUGGAGUACUUUGUGUCUGGCUAGCCAGUAUUUUGGAGAAAAAAUAUUAUUGUUCCUUGGAAAGUUUCUGGAAGAAAUAUGUCUAAUUGAAAGAAAGAACCUCAUUGAAAAUGUUUCAGCAGCAAUUUCCAGCAGCAACCUUCCAAAGAAAACACCGACCAGGCCUCCGAGUGACUCUGGCUUGCUUCCCAAGAGCAUGUUUUGGCAGCCCAGGAACACACUGCACAUAUAUGUAAGCCCCUCUUGUUUACUGAGAGGCUUUGUCUUCUUUGGAGCAGAAUGCACAGAUUUACAAAGACUUAAAAAUGUAAGGAAUAGUACAUUAUGCAGUCAACAACAAAAAAUGCUGUUCAACUUUCUUUCCAGCAGAUACCCUGCAGACACCCUGCAGAACGUGCACUGCUUCUGUGCCUGGUUGUGCUUUUUGGAGGGUCUUCCCAAAGAGUCUUAUACACUCAGUGUAGCUUUCCUUCCCCACCACUGAUCCAAGAGAAACAAAACCUGUUCAGCGUGGAAACCUCCACGCCAGGCUGAAAUCCUACAUGCAUCCAUCUGAAUUUACCUACAUAUGAACCAUCUGGUAUCCAAUAAGACUCUCCUUGUCUUAAGUGUUAGGUUUGCUUAUUUGAAUUUCACCUGGGGACUCAGAUGGUGAAAGGCAAUUUGUAGGGUUGAAAGCACCCAACUGUUUCCAAUGAUACAACUUUACAUAAUGUAGCCGUUACCUAGAAAGGUGCUUGUUUGUCCAGGAAUGUGCCUGCCCUGCGUCAUGCCCAUGGCACGCAGUCCUCCACGUGUAGUCUCUCACUGACAGAGUAUCCGUGACUGCGAGGGGGGUGGGUUUGGGCUGUAACUGGCCCCUACAGCAGGGUUUUGUACCAAAGUCUGGAUCCCAAGUCAAGCUCUGUAGAGUGAAAGGACAUCCUGCUUUGUUCAUGGAAGGUACUUAGCUGUGUUCACAGCACCGGGAUCCCUUCUUCUGCAACCAGUACAAAUUCAGCUUAAGGUGAUCCAUGCACCACUCCUGACCCUCUUGGCAGCUGCAGAGCUUCCUUCCAUCUGGGUGAAGAAAACAGCUUUGCGCUUCCCUAAGCUCCUAGAAUAGGGAGCAAAGUCCCUCCUGCAAGGCAGAGGUAGCAGCAGGAGCAGCCAUUUCUUGCUGACAACAACCAGGUCACUUGCCUGGAGUGCUGAUGGGGACCCUUUUCCCUCCCAUCGUCGUACAUAGUCUGGGAAAUGCAAGUUUAUUACCUGGUCUCUGGGUUCUCCACAGGCUCAGUCACCAGUUAGACUCAGGCAGACUUGUUUUCUGAUGCUGAAACUUUGUUAUACUCACAUGCCUCCUGGAGCCGGGUCUUCAGGAAUAGAUUAAAGGCCCUGAUAUCUUAAUCUGGCCUUGAUAUCAUGAAGGUCUCACCAUAACAAGUCUCAGCCAUUGUCAGUCUCUCUGGCAGCAAGGUGUUAACGGACUAGCAUUAGCAAGGGACACCAGAUGGGAGCCACAGUGAGCCAGAGUUGGUGCAGAGGAGGCUGGCUGCUUUGGAGACAGUACUUUUACUCACCUACCUUCUUGAGGGGCAACGGUAUUAUGGUGGAUUGAUACUGAUGGUGGGUAAAUGUAAUAAAAUGUUGCUGUAGCAGGGGCAUGAUAUCUCACCUUUAGUUCCUGCAAACUCAAUGGGAAAGGCUUUAUAAAUAAUUCUGGCUUUGUGAAUUUAAGAUAUGGAUUAAAAUUUACUAUAUAUGUUUUCAAAUUUUAAUGUGCUGCUUUUUUUUCCCUUACCAAUCAAUUCAAUUUUAGUUUUGCAGAUAUUAUUCUUAUUUUUGUAAUAAUGAUGGCUAAUGCAAAAAUGUUGGUAAUGGAUGCAUAAGGAAAGAAUGAAGAUGACAUUGUCAAUGUUUUAUUAAUUUGUUAUUGUGGGCAGGAAAAGUCAGUCAGUGGUUUUCUUUGCAUCCAGUGCACAUUGUUAGCAGUAUUUUUAUAAUAAUUUGAAACCAUUAUUUUUGGAGCCUAAAGGAAUUCUGUGGGACAAAGGUUCAUCAUUUAGAGCUGUGCAUUUUCAAAGAAAUGUCAGCAAACAGAGAAGCAUAUGAAAUGUUUGCAUUAGCUAAAAGAAAACAGUGUCAGACAUAUACAUUUUUAGCAGAUUGAAACUCAAAAGUGCGACCACACAACUAUCUUUCUUACACCCCUGCUGACAUUGCAUAAUACACACCAGGCCAUAAUUUAGAUGGUCACACUGCUAAGACUAUGCAUGUACAUAACUCAGACUAAGCGUCUAAGCUCCUUUACCAUUAAUAUGCAUAUGAAUAUGUAUUUGCAGGUUUGGGGCAUUAGCUGAGAGUUAGCUGACAAUUCAGCUAUAGCAACAAUGCAACUAAUCAAACAGGGAAAAAUACAAAAUUUCCUGUACAAUGAGAUAUUUCUCUUUGCCCCAUUGACCUUAUUUUCAGCUGAUCUGUUUGAGACUAUGAUUGAUGAGAAUGGUGCUAAAGCCUGCCUAAUAUAACCAAUGAAGAAUCAAGACGAUGGAGGAAUAUUCAAACUAUAUCUUCCAUGAGAAACUAGGCAUUUCCCUAAACUGCUUCAAAAAAAUCUGUGCUGAAUGUUUUACAUUUUCCUUUAUAUGAUUCACCUUCAGCCAACACACUAAAUUAUUAGUGGCUUUAUCAUAUUUCUAUUUGAUUGUAUAAUAAUAUUUAUGUACAGUUUCACUAAGCUGUGCAAACACUAGCAAAUGGAUUUUGCAUCCUUUGUUGCUUUUUAGGUUUUAUAAGCCUCUUCCUAGUACAUACUGAUCUCCUGUUUUAAAGAUCAAGAAAAGAAAUAUAACCACAUCCUUAGAGCAAUAUACAGUUAUGUAAACCUCACUACAAGUUUAGGUAGAAAGUGUAUGGCCAUUUACAGAAAACAGAGGGUCUUACUUCUCGAGCCAAUUUGUAUGGCCAGCCCCAAGUGACCUCAAUACUGUGCUGAGUAUGACAGUCCUACAAGAUUAGAUUCUUUUGAUUUUAGAAAAAAGAGUUCAGCUGUCAAACUCCUUGAAGCAGUGCAUUGCACCGUCUUUGCAAUUUACAGAGCAAGACAAAAAAUCUGAUGACCAUGGACGGUUCUCAGCUCCUGGCUGACCUUCCCCCGUGGGGCAACAGCCCUCGGUGCACCCUGACAGACCAAGUGCCCGGUGUCCUUCAUACUUGAUGAAAGGCACUAAUACUCAGGCAAUUAACUUUCCAAAAUUUGAAAUAUCACCAUUGCUAAUGUGCCUGGUUCCAUUGGUGCAAAGAUGUAAAAUAACACCAGAGCUAUUAGCAAGGCAGUAGCCAAACGCUAGCAUGACUCAACACAGACCCCUUGCUGUUGUAUUUGGGUGUUAAAACACCCAAACAUGGGGCUUUCCUACCACUCCUGUGACUUCCCGUCAUCAGAGAUGCUGAAAAAAAUGCUUUUUCUACCCACUGAGUAUUUGUUAUUCUUUGAAAUUAUUUCUGACCUGAGCUAAAGCAAAACCCUGUCAUGGUUUAACCCCAGCCAGCAACUAAGCACCAUGCAGCCGCUCACUCACUUCCACCCCGCCCAGUGGGAUGGGGGAGAGAAUCAGAAAAAAAAAAGAAAAAACUCAUGGGUUGAGAUAAGAACAGUUUAACAGAACAGAAAGGAAGAAACUAAUAAUGAUAAUAAUAACAAUAAAAAAAUGACAAUACUAAUAAAAGGAUUGGAAUACACAAAACAAGUGAUGCACAAUGCGAUUGCUCACCACUCGCCAACCAAUGCCCAGUUAGUUCCUGAGCACCAAUCCCCCCCAGGCCAAAUCCCCCCAGUUUAUAUACUGGGGAUGUCAUCACACAGUAUGGAAUACCCCUUUGGCCAGUUUGGGUCAGCUGUCCUGGCUGUGUCCCCUCCCAACUUCUUGUGCCCCUCCAGCCUUCUUGCUGGCUGGGCAUGAGAAGCUGAAAAAUCCUUGAUUUAAUGUAAACACAGCUUAGCAACAACUGAAAACAUCAGUGUCUGAUCAACAUUCUUCUCAUACUGAAUCCAAGACAUAACACUAUACCAGCUACUAGGAAGAAAAUUAGCUCUGUCCCAGCUGAAACCAGGAAAAACCCUCAGCAGCUCAGAGAUUGUCACAGAAUGGCAUUUAGAAACAACUGUCUGUUGCAAUUUGGUUUUAUAUAUUUUAAACAUGUUUUGUUUCGGCUGUUUUCCUUUUCUUAAUAGAAGAUUAAUUUCAGACUGAAAAGUUGUUUCAGAUUAAAAUCAAAACUCAGUUCCAAAAAGCUAUAAUACUUUGCCCACCUUUUUCCCGAAUGAAUUUUUAUUGGCAUCAAAGAAAUUCUGUGGAGAAAAAAACCCAACCUUUUUGUUGAAUUAUCACCAUCUCACUGAAAACUACCCGAAUUACAAUGUUCAGACCAACUCUCUCAAUCAUCAGUAGCCCUUGUGUAUGUGGUAGACGGUAUCAAAUAAAGAUUCUCACUGCUCUUUGA